GCCUGGCUGGCUCAGUUGGAAGAGCAUGUGACUCUUAAUCCUGGGGUUGUGAGUUCAAGCCCCAUGUUGGGUG
rnacentral:tRNA from 1 species